ACUCAAAUGAAUUGACGGGGGCCCGCACAAGCGGUGGAGUAUGUGGUUUAAUUCGAAGCAACGCGCAGAACCUUACCUGGGUUUAACAUCCCACGACAAUCUCAGAGAUGGGACUUUCCCUUCGGGGACGUGGAGAUAGGUGCUGCAUGGCUGUCGUCAGCUCGUGUCGUAAGAUGUUGGGUUAAGUCCCGCAACGAGCGCAACCUCUAUCUUUAGUUACCAAUAUUAAGUUAGGGACUCUAAAGAGACUGCCGGUGUUAAACCGGAGGAAGGCGGAGAUGACGUCAAGUCCUCAUGGCCCUUACAUCCAGGGCUACACACGUACUACAAUGGCAGAGACAAACCGUUGCGAAGCCGCGAGGUGGAGCUAAUCGGAAAAACACUGUCCCAGUCCGGAUUGAAGUCUGCAACUCGACUUCAUGAAGUUGGAAUCGCUAGUAAUCGCAGAUCAGCACGCUGCGGUGAAUACGUUCCCGGGCCUUGCACACACCGCCCGU
rnacentral:rRNA from 1 species